UCAACCUAGUAGGGACGUGUCCCUGCGCCAAACGACUCUUGUCGGGAUCGUGGCAUGUCUGCGAUCGAGGGGGUGAUGUUGAGAGCUGGAAGGCAAGGGGGUGCAAACACCAGUCAGCCUUUGUCCUGAUUGUUGAGUGUUAUGUGCUUGAUGUCCAAGGCUUGAUGCUGAUCCUCCAAGUGGGGCUUGUCCCUGCACCAAUGGCUAUUGCCAGGAUCAUGGCGUUUGCUGUGAUCGAAAAAAUGAGGGGGUGAUGUUGAGAGCCGGAAGGCAAGGGGGUGCAAACACCAGUCGGCCUUUGUCCCGAUUGCUGAGUGUUAUGUGCUUGACGUCCAAGGCUUGAUGCUGAUCCUCCAAGUGGGGCUUUUUUGUUCCUGCGGUAACGACUUUGUUGGGAUCAUUGUGAUCAAGUUUGGUUGGUUUCGUAUUGUGGUGGGUUUUUUCGAAGCUUCUGUCGUUCUUUUACGCAUCGUGCGGUGCAUCUUGGGGGCUGUUUUGGCUUUUGGUUGCUUGCUUGGGCUUUAUGCUAGGCGGGUGGCUAAU
rnacentral:misc_RNA from 1 species